rnacentral:rRNA from 1 species
CUAACCUGCUAAAUAGUAUGGUUGCAAAAUAUUACGUGGCCCCCUGUGCUGGCGCCUUCCCUCGGGCGGGUGGUCGGGACAGGACCUCGUAAGCAGGUCAAACUUCUUAGAGGAACAGGCGCCAAAAAGGCGUACGAAAGAGAGCAAUAACAGGUCUGUGAUGCCCUAAGAUGUCCGGGGCCGCACGCGUGCUACAAUGACGAUGCUAGUGAGGAUGAUUCACUGGUCCGAAAGGAUCGGUAAAACUUUUCAAUCAUCGUCGUGCCUGGGAUUGGGGUUUGCAAUUGUCCCCCAUGAACCAGGAAUUCCUAGUAAGCACAAGUCAUCACCUUGUGCUGAUUACGUCCCUGCCCUUUGUACACACCGCCCGUCGCUACUACCGAUUGAAUGGUUUAGCAAGGCCAUUGGAUCGAGUCCAUACGGUUCACGCUGUUUGGAUUUGAGAAGAUGGUCGAACUUGAUCAUUUAGAGGAAGUAAAAGUCGUAACAAGGUUUCCGUAGGUGAACCUGCGGAAGGAUCAUCA